AGAUGCGAUUGUUAAAAAUUGAGCACCAGACCAGAAUUUGACUCUUAAAAGAGACACGUAAAAUGGACUAACUAUCACAGGUGCCUCAUUGCAAAACAAGUUUAUGGUUUUUUUAAAACGGUAUGAUUCGUUACAUAUUCUCUCACUGAAUACAAAAUGAGGCUUUUUAUCUAAGGCCUUUCGGGAAGCAAAGAGGGAUGGCCAAAUGAACGACAUACAUCAUACCAAAAGGCUGGAAGGUGAUGACUUGGUUCAUGUAAGUUCACCUGGAUCUUGAGAUUGGCAUGGAUCCAAAUAAAUAUGAACCUUCAAGAUGGGAGGGAUACAGACCUAUACCAGGCACAUUCCUUCAUUUUCAUUUAGGAAGCGGUCUUUGUCCGGAGAAAAAUCUUGCCAAGCUCGAGAUUCUAAUUUUUCUUCAUCUUUAACCAUUGAAGAUGGGUUUAGCUACGCUAGCUUUGAAGCUGUGGGUUAUGACUUCAACACUAUUGAGCUGAGUCAGCUGGUGAGAAGGGUCUCGUUCUUUGAUUCCAAAAUUCUCUGUAGCCAUGCACUGGAGUUGAGUGAACGCGUACAAGCCAGAGAUUAGUGUAUACUUGGAGUAUUGUGGG